rnacentral:miRNA from 1 species
AAAGCAUAUAAUAGUUUUGUCUGUGGAAACACCACGUAAAUUUAUUACUGCAGUAAUAAAUUUACGUGGUGUUUCCACAAACAAAACUAUUAUAACUUAUACUGGAUA